UUCUUAUCAAGAGCAGGUGGAGGGACGAGCCCGAUGAAGCCCGGCAACCGACUUUUUAAAAGCACGGUGCUAAUUCUUGCAGCUGCCGCUGAGAGAUAAGGA
rnacentral:ncRNA from 1 species